CCUACGGGUGGCUGCAGUGGGGAAUAUUGCACAAUGGAGGAAACUCUGAUGCAGCGACGCCGCGUGAGCGAUGAAGGCCUUCGGGUUGUAAAGCUCUGUCGCAUGGGAAUAAGACAGUGAAUGUACCAUGCAAGAAAGGAUCGGCUAACUUCGUGCCAGCAGCCGCGGUAAGACGAGGGAUCCUAGCGUUGUUCGGAAUCAUUGGGCGUAAAGCGGGUGCAUGUGGCUUUGUAAGUCAGGUGUGAAAUCCCAGGGCUCAACCCUGGAAGUGCAUUUGAUACUGCGAAGCUUGAGUGCUGGAGAGGUAAGUAGAAUUCCUGGUGUAGUGGUGAAAUACGUAGAUAUCAGGAGGAAUACCGGAGGCGAAGGCGGCUUACUGGCCAGACACUGACACUCAGACACGAAAGCGUGGGGAUCAAACAGGAUUAGAUACCCGAGUAGUC
rnacentral:rRNA from 1 species